rnacentral:rRNA from 1 species
GACGAACGCUGGCGGCGUGCUUAACACAUGCAAGUCGAACGAAUAGCGAUGGAUUCUUGCUUCUAUCAGUCUUAGUGGCGUACGUGUGAGUAACGCGUAAUCAACCUGCCCUUCAGUGGGGGACAACAGUUGGAAACGAUUCCUCAUACCUCAUGCGGGCUAAUCUCGGCAUCGAUGAGAGAUCAAGGGUUGCCUCUACAUGUGAGCUGUCACUCAAGGAGGGGAUUGAGUCUGAUUACGAAGCUGGAGGGGGAAAGGGCCAACAAGGGGAUGAUCAGGAGACGGGCUGAGAGGAUGGACCGCCAAAUUGGGAACGAGAAACGGCCCAGGCCUCCACGGGAGGGAGCAGUGGGGAAAUAUUCGCAAUGGAGGGAAGGCUGACGGCGCAAAGCCGGGGGAGUGGUGACGGCCUUCGGGUUGUAAAGCUCCGUUAAUCGGGACGAAAGGCCAUCUUGCGAAUAGUGAGAAGGAUUGACGGUACCGGAAGAGAAAGCCACGGCUAACUACGUG